rnacentral:pre_miRNA from 1 species
GCUUGUUCAUCUACCCUGUGGUACCGAGCUGUGUCUGAGUGUAAAGCAAACACAGUCGGUCGCCGGGUACAUGGCCUUUUUU